UCAAACUGAAGAUGGCGACCGGCGCACGGGUGAGUAACACGUAUCCAACCUGCCGAUAACUCCGGAAUAGCCUUUUGAAAGAAAGAUUAAUACCGGAUAGUAUACGAAUAUCGCAUGAUAUUUUUAUUAAAGAAUUUCGGUUAUCGAUGGGGAUGCGUUCCAUUAGUUUGUUGGCGGGGUAACGGCCCACCAAAACUACGAUGGAUAGGGGUUCUGAGAGGAAGGUCCCCCACAUUGGAACUGAGACACGGUCCAA
rnacentral:rRNA from 1 species